AUUGAACGCUGGCGGCAGGCCUAACACAUGCAAGUCGAGCGGAUGAGUGGAGCUUGCUCCAUGAUUCAGCGGCGGACGGGUGAGUAAUGCCUAGGAAUCUGCCUGGUAGUGGGGGACAACGUUUCGAAAGGAACGCUAAUACCGCAUACGUCCUACGGGAGAAAGUGGGGGAUCUUCGGACCUCACGCUAUCAGAUGAGCCUAGGUCGGAUUAGCUAGUUGGUGAGGUAAAGGCUCACCAAGGCGACGAUCCGUAACUGGUCUGAGAGGAUGAUCAGUCACACUGGAACUGAGACACGGUCCAGACUCCUACGGGAGGCAGCAGUGGGAAAUAUAGGACAAUGGGCGAAAGCCGGAUCCAGCCAUGCCGCGUGUGUGAAGAAGGUCUUCGGAUUGUAAAGCACUUUAAGUUGGGAGGAAGGGCAGUAAGUUAAUACCUUGCUGUUUUGACGUUACCAACAGAAUAAGCACCGGCUAACUUCGUGCCAGCAGCCGCCGUAACAC
rnacentral:rRNA from 1 species